rnacentral:rRNA from 1 species
AGAGUUUGAUCAUGGCUCAGAAUCAACGCUGGCGGCGCGCCUAACACAUGCAAGUCGAACGGGAAAGUGGGCAACCAUGAGUACAGUGGCGUACGGGUGAGUAGCACGUGGGUAAUCUACCUCUUAGUGGGGAAUAACCCUGGGAAACCGGGGCUAAUACCGCAUGAGCUCGAGAGAGGAAAGCAGCAAUGCGCUGAGAGAGGAGCCCGCGGCCGAUUAGCUAGUUGGUAGGGUAAAAGCCUACCAAGGCAAAGAUCGGUAGCCGGCCUGAGAGGGCACACGGCCACACUGGCACUGAAACACGGGCCAGACUCCUACGGGAGGCAGCAGUGGGGAAUCUUGCACAAUGGGGGAAACCCUGAUGCAGCGACGCCGCGUGAGCGAUGAAGCCCUUCGGGGUGUAAGGCUCUUUCGGCAGGGAAGAUGAUGACGGUACCUGCAGAAGCAGCUGCGGCUAACUACGUGCCAGCAGCCGCGGUAAUACGUAGGCAGCAAGCGUUGUUCGGAGUUACUGGGCGUAAAGGGUGUGUAGGCGGUUCUUUAAGUUUGGUGUGAAAUCUCCCGGCUCAACCGGGAGGGUGCGCCGAAUACUGAGGGACUCGAGUGCGGGAGAGGAAAGUGGAAUUCCUGGUGUAGCGGUGAAAUGCGUAGAUAUCAGGAGGAACACCGGUGGUGUAGACGGCUUUCUGGACCGUAACUGACGCUGAGACACGAAAGCGUGGGUAGCAAACAGGAUUAGAUACCCUGGUAGUCCACGCCCUAAACGAUGCAUAUUUGGUGUGGGCAGUUCAUUCUGUCCGUGCCGGAGCUAACGCGUUAAAUAUGCCGCCUGGGGAGUACAGUCGCAAGGCUGAAACUCAAAGGAAUUGACGGGGGGCCCGCACAAGCGGUGGAGCAUGUGGGUUCAAUUCGACGCAACGCGAAGAACCCUUACCUGGGCUCGAACGGGUAGUCAACGGGAGGUGGAAACAUCUUUUACCCCCGCAG